rnacentral:rRNA from 1 species
CCUACGGGUGGCAGCAGUGAGGAAUAUUGGUCAAUGGACGAGAGUCUGAACCAGCCAAGUAGCGUGAAGGAUGACUGCACUAUGGGUUGUAAACUUCUUUUAUCACGGAAUAAAACGAGGCACGUGUGCCUUUUUGCAUGUACCUUAUGAAUAAGGAUCGGCUAACUCCGUUCCAGCAGCCGCGGUAAUACGGAGGAUCCGAGCGUUAUCCGGAUUUAUUGGGUUUAAAGGGAGCAGAGAGGGGUUGUUAAGUCAGUUGGGAAAGUGUGCGGCUCAACCGUAAAAUUGCAAUUGAUACUGGCAGUCUUGAGUACAGGUGAGGUAGGCGGAAUGCGUGGUGUAGCGGUGAAAUGCUUAGAUAUCACGAAGAACCCCGAUUGCGAAGGCAGCUUACU